UCUAACCUUAACCAAAAGCCAAGUUACAAUCAAAGAAAGUCCUUCAGAUCAAUUUUUGAUAAUGUUAAGGCUAAGCAUGCAAUGGAUAUAAUGAUACAUUGUGAAGUACCGUUUGUCUCCCUCAGCAUGAGAAAUCAGGAAAAGAAAAUGAAAAUGAGAGAGUCUUAUUGGUGAAAACCCUCAUGGGCACCAUAAGGCGAUGUUGAGUUGAGAGAAAAU
rnacentral:lncRNA from 1 species